GAUGAACGCUGGCGGCGUGCCUAACACAUGCAAGUCGAACGAAGCGCAUGCCUGGAACCCUCCGGGGGGAAGGGCAUGUGACUGAGUGGCGGACGGGUGAGUAACGCGUGGGCAACCGGCCCCGCACUGGGGGACAACAGCCGGAAACGGCUGCUAAUACCGCAUAUGCGCACAGCUUUGCAUGAAGCAGUGUGGAAAACUCCGGUGGUGCGGGAUGGGCCCGCGUCUGAUUAGCUGGUUGGCGGGGCAACGGCCCACCAAGGCGACGAUCAGUAGCCGGCCUGAGAGGGUGGACGGCCACAUUGGGACUGAGACACGGCCCAGACUCCUACGGGAGGCAGCAGUGGGGGAUAUUGCACAAUGGGGGGAACCCUGAUGCAGCGACGCCGCGUGAGCGAAGAAGUACCUCGGUAUGUAAAGCUCUAUCAGCAGGGAAGAAAAUGACGGUACCUGACUAAGAAGCCCCGGCUAAAUACGUGCCAGCAGCCGCGGUAAUACGUAAGGG
rnacentral:rRNA from 1 species